AACGCGAAGAACCUUACCCUGGUCUGACAUAUCUAGAAUCCUGCAGAGAUGCGGGAGUGCCUUCGGGAAUUAGAAUACAGGUGCUGCAUGGCUGUCGUCAGCUCGUGUCGUGAGAUGUUGGGUUAAGUCCCGCAACGAGCGCAACCCUUGUCCUUAGUUACCAGCGGGUUAAGCCGGGAACUCUAAGGAUACUGCCAGUGACAAACUGGAGGAAGGGGGGGACGACGUCAAGUCAUCAUGGCCCUUACGACCAGGGCUACACACGUGCUACAAUGGUAGGUACAGAGGGCAGCUACACAGCGAUGUGAUGCGAAUCUCAAAAAGCCUAUCGUAGUCCAGAUUGGAGUCUGCAACUCGACUCCAUGAAGUAGGAAUCGCUAGUAAUCGCGGAUCAAAAUGCCGCGGUGAAUACCUUCCCGGGUCUUGUACACACCG
rnacentral:rRNA from 1 species